rnacentral:rRNA from 1 species
CAGCAGCCGCGGUAAUACGAAGGGGGCUAGCGUUGCUCGGAAUUACUGGGCGUAAAGGGAGCGUAGGCGGACAUUUAAGUCAGGGGUGAAAUCCCGGGGCUCAACCUCGGAAUUGCCUUUGAUACUGGGUGUCUUGAGUAUGAGAGAGGUAUGUGGAACUCCGAGUGUAGAGGUGAAAUUCGUAGAUAUUCGGAAGAACACCAGUGGCGAAGGCGACAUACUGGCUCAUUACUGACGCUGAGGCUCGAAAGCGUGGGGAGCAAACAGGAUUAGAUACCCCCGUAGUCCCUGUCUCUUAUAC